UACGGAGGGUGCAAACGUUGCUCGGAAUCAUUGGGCGUAAAGCGCACGUAGGCGGCCUGAUAAGUCGGGUGUGAAAGCCCCUGGGCUCAACCCAGGAAGUGCACUCGAAAACUGUCAGGCUUGAAUAUGGAAGAGGGGUCGCGGAAUUCCCCGGUGUAGAGGUGAAAUUCGUAGAUAUCGGGAGGAACACCAGUGGCGAAGGCGGCGACCUGGGCCAAUAUUGACGCUGAGGUGCGAAAGCGUGGGGAGCAAACAGG
rnacentral:rRNA from 1 species